rnacentral:ncRNA from 1 species
AAUAAGUUUUAUUUUGGCUUAAUAAUUUAUUAUAAAUUUGAUUUACAUGUAAAUUUUUAUAUGAAUAAAUAAUUUUCUAAAAGAAAUUAUAUAAUAAUUUUAUUCGCAGUAAUUUAUAUUAAUUAUUAGAGAAAUCUAGAAUUAGCAAUAUUAUUUAGUAUUGGCUAAAUUUGUGCCAGCAGCUGCGGUUAUACAAAAAAUACAAGUAAAUUUUAUUUAAAUAGUAAUAAAAUUGUAAUAAUUAAAUAAAAAAAGAAUUUUUAGGUGAAAUUUUAUUUUUUUUUAUUUAUAAUUUAUAUAUAUUGAAUUUAGUAAAAUUUGGUAAUAAACUAGGAUUAGAUACCCUAUUAUUCAAAUUGUAUUUAUAAAUAUUAGAGUAGUAAUAGUUAUGGUCUUGAAACUUAAAAAAUUUGGCGGUCUUUUAGUCUAUUCAGAGGAACCUGUAGUAUAAUCGAUAAUCCACGAUGGACCUCACUUAUUUUUGUUUUCAGUAUGUAUACCGCCGUUAUUUGAAAAUUUUAUAAGAAUAAUAAUUUUCAGAAUUUUUUAUAAAAAAAUAAAUCAGGUCAAGGUGCAGCAUAUAAAUAAGUAUUUUAUGGGUUACAAUAAAUUUAUUUAUUAUGGAAUAAAUAAUGAAAUUUUAUUUAUGAAAGAGGAUUUGAAAGUAAAUUUUUAUAGAUUAAAGAAUUGAUUAUAGCUCUAAAAUAUGUACACAUCGCCCGUCGCUCUUGUUAUUAAUAUAAGAUAAGUCGUAACAAAGUAGAUGUACUGGAAAGUGUUUCUAGAAUAGC